AAUGGAGUGCCUGAUUUAAAAGGAUUAUUUUGAUAGAAUAAAUUAUGUAUUUAUACCUCCAUUA
rnacentral:tRNA from 1 species